rnacentral:tRNA from 1 species
GCGCCCUUAGCUCAGAUGGAUAGAGCAUGUGGCUUCGAACCACAGUGCCGGGGGUCCGAGUCCCUCAGGGCGCGCCA